rnacentral:rRNA from 1 species
AUGGCAGAAGUUUCAGCCCUGAAAUUUGGCUUAACUUUGGCACAAAGGGCGGGAUGUAACCGCCUAAUUAUCAACUCCGACAAUAUGAAGGUCAUUGAGACCAUGCAGGACGGAGGACAAUCAGCGGGAGCGGCGGCGGCUAUAUUUGACGACUGUUUUUACUAUGCAUGUGAUUUAGUAACUAGAUUUGAGCAUUGUAAUAGAGAGGCAAACAAAGUAGCUAAUGAACUCGCUAGAUUAGCUAGAUUUUCCGUGACUUCGGACUGGUUUGAGGAGUCUAUCAAUGAAAUUGUAACGAUCCUCACAAAUGAUGUACUGAUUAUUUCUAAUGAAUAA